rnacentral:rRNA from 1 species
GAUGAACGCUGGCUACAGGCUUAACACAUGCAAGUCGAGGGGAAACGACGGGGAAGCUUGCUUCCCCGGGCGUCGACCGGCGCACGGGUGAGUAACGCGUAUCCAACCUGCCUCUGACUGAGGGAUAACCCGUCGAAAGUCGGCCUAAUACCUCAUGGCAUCGUCUGCGGGCCUCCAACGACGAUUAAAGAUUUCAUCGGUCAGAGAUGGGGAUGCGUCUGAUUAGCUUGUUGGCGGGGUAACGGCCCACCAAGGCGACGAUCAGUAGGGGUUCUGAGAGGAAGGUCCCCCACAUUGGAACUGAGACACGGUCCAAACUCCUACGGGAGGCAGCAGUGAGGAAUAUUGGUCAAUGGGCGAGAGCCUGAACCAGCCAAGUAGCGUGCAGGAUGACGGCCCUAUGGGUUGUAAACUGCUUUUAUGCGGGGAUAAAGUGAGGGACGUGUCCUUCAUUGCAGGUACCGCAUGAAUAAGGACCGGCUAAUUCCGUG